UAAAAUUUUGUGUGAUAUGGA
rnacentral:piRNA from 1 species